rnacentral:misc_RNA from 1 species
GAUGAAGAACGCAGCGAAAUGCGAUAAGUAAUGUGAAUUGCAGAAUUCAGUGAAUCAUCGAAUCUUUGAACGCACAUUGCGCCCGCCAGUAUUCUGGCGGGCAUGCCUGUUCGAGCGUCAUUUCAACCAUCAAGCCCCAGGCUUGUGUUGGGGACCUGCGGCUGCCGCAGGCCCUGAAAACCAGUGGCGGGCUCGCUGUCACACCGGGCGUAGUAGAUUUUAUCUCGCUCAGGGCGUGCUGCGGGUCCCGGCCGUUAAAAGCCUUUUUUUACCCAAGGUUGACCUCAGAUCAGGUAGGAAGACCCGCUGAACUUAAGCAUAUCAAUAAGCGGAGGA